ACUCAACUGGAGCCCUGCCGCCAUGCGCGCAGCACUCUGAGGGGUGGGGCUGCAUGCUCCUGCAAGGCAGCGUAUCUGGCUCUGCUUGGAGCCUCAUGAUGUUCAGCUGUAACUCUUUUAUGUAAGAGUUCUUCAAUACAUGGCAGAUCUUUAAGUUAAUGCAACUCAAGGCCAAGAAAGAGGUUCCCUUUCUGCACACAUCAUCCCCUUCUUGUGCAGGAUGGGAGUCAGUCACCUCCAUAACACCUCUUACCUGCCAGUCUGCAGGAUCAGGUGUCCACAUGUGGUUGGGGCAGGACACAUGUUAUCUUCCCAUACAGGGCAUCAGUCGAGCUGCAUUAACUUUUAUAUUAUGCCUUCUCCAAGGGGAAACAGCAAUUAAUCUGAGUGUCCAUUUAGUUCGGCUCCAGUGGAGCCAGGCAAGGAGUUGGGGAGCAAGUGCAGAGGCAUUCCGACCUUCCCCUAAUAUAUGCAGUGUUUGUGGGGUAUUCCACUGCCUACUCCAGAGCCUUCCCCCAAAGGAAUGAUUUUGGAGAAAACUCUGCAAGGGGAACCUAUCCCUAUAGAAUUUUUCUCCCCAAGGCUCUCUUCCAUGUACUGGUUUGUGGAAAGGGGUGAUUCUCACCUUUAACAUGUUUAUAAUUUUAUAUGACCCAAGUGAGUAGCCUCUGCACCUUAACUACAAUGGAAAUGGCAAAACUGCCCCAGCUUAUGGUGAUGAACUCCUGGAUUGCCUGUAGUGCCGGUGUUCUUUGAAGUGCUGCAUGUACAAAAUAACAUACUAGCUUCUUUCUGACUGAAUCCUUGUGUGCUAAGCAUUAGAAAAGCCACAAAACCAGGAUGGACUGUACUGUCUAGACCAUACAGCAGUGAUGGGCAACCUGCAGCCAAUCAGGGUAAUCCACUGGCAGGCCACCAGACAGUUUGUUUACAUUUGCAUGGCCGCCUGCAGCUCCUAGUCGUCGAGGUUUGCUGUUCCCAGCCAAUGGGAGCUGUGGGCUGCUCCACUUCCCACUGCUCCCAUUGGCUGGGAACAGUGAACCAUGGCCACUGGGAGCUGCGGGCGCUAGUGCAAAUGUAAACAAACUGUCUGGUGGUCUGCCAGCAGAUUAACCUGAUGGGCCGCGUGUGGCCUGCGGGCCGCAGGUUGCCCACCACUGCCAUACAGCAAACAUGAAUAGUGUUUUCACAAGCCACUCAGGAGGGUAGCACUUGUCUCUGUCAUUUCUCUUUACGUAACAGAUGGUUAAAUGAACAUAACAGCAGGCACAGGGCAAUGUUAUUGUAACAGUAAAACCAGAAAAUUAUUUCAAAGGUUCAAAUCAUUAAGUAAACAAUGUGACUGCUUGGAAGCUUCUUAAAAGAUGAGCAUCAAUUUGGGUGUUGUGUUUUGGCAAGAAUCUGGUGAAGCUGAUGCCUUAAGGUAUCUGACACCAUAACCUGAGAGAAUCACAUUCCUCUGAGGUAGAUUUUCUUGGCUAAAGUUAACAGGCAUAGAUUUAAACAAAAAGUUGGAACCAAGCAAAGAGGGAGUCGUAACAUUUACUGCUCACUAGGUUGUUUUACAACUUGGAAUGUGUGAUCUGUUUUGAGCCUCACCCUAUUCACUGUAAACACUUUUGAAGCAGAUACGGGAUCAAGCCACAGAGUCUUGCCCCAUACUUGAACUUCCCCAAAGUUCAGGGGACUAUAGAUUUGGGUCAGGCCCAUCUCUGAUACAAACCAUGUGUAUCUAAUAGUUCAAAAUGAAAUAAUUUCUGGAAGUUAAUUGAUCGGGCUUUUUUUUCAUUUUGUUAGUAGCCUGACUUUUGUUCAACAGAGCAAAAGGACAACAUAUUCAGGAUCUCUCUAAAUUUCACACAAAAUCAAGCAUCCUUGAGUUUCCUAGCCUCUUGAACUAUUGUUAAAAACAUUUACACCAGGGCUAGUACUUAGGGCUUGAUCCUGGAAGGUGCUGACCAUCCCGGCAAAGUGAUGCGGGUCUUUAACUCCCAUUGACUUUAGUGGGAUUUAGGAUGCUCAACCUUUUGCAAGGUCAAGUCCUAAAGCCCUAAAAUGUUUGCUUGUUGUUAUAGCAAAAUCUUAGAUACAAAAAGUUACUGAGCAAAGCUGCACCAACCUAACGAUUUUUGCUUUUUGACACCCAAUGUUUUCAUGAAUAUUUGUAAAAACUUGCCAGUUUGAUAUAAGGAAAAAUGUAAUUUCAAAUGCUAAUAUGAUCUUUUAAAAGUUUCAUCACUAGUGCAUUUCUCCAGGGCCUGAUCCUGCUUCCAUUAAAAUCUGUGGUUAAUUCUGCUAUCUAUUAGAAUCAUCAUUUAAAAUGUAUAUAAUUUGUUAGGACUACAGAUGUUAAACAAUGUGCAUUGCAUUUUGUAACUAAUCAGACUUUUCCUAUGCACAUCAGCAUCACCUGAAAAAUCUAGUAAGCUGAUCUGCUUUGGGAAAAGAUUUUCUUUAAUAUUCUGCUUACACAAUAUGUUGUCAACUCAGAUUUUUGUUUUUAUUUUGAAUAAUUAGAAAGGGGGGUUUGGUUUGUUUGUUUGUUUCUUUGUUCAUUUGUUUGUUUGGUUUUUUUUGAGGAUGCUAUUUAGUUUGGAAAACAAACAAUCGCCAAUGGUCCGGUCUGUGAAAUUGGAUUCCAGGACAAUAAGUACACAUACAUGGUCUUUGAAAGCACUGAGAUGCAGACUGAUUAAAUAAAGAUUAAAUAUGUAUACUGUUAACACUAUGAAUAGUAUUUCUGCCUGUCAUUUCUAAUGGGGAAUUGUUGUGGAUUCAGCAUACAGAGAUGUUAUCUUAUGUUCUGACGAUCACAAUUCUAAUAAACAUAUCUGUAUCAGC